UAUUUGCUGCAACUGUGCUACAAACAUACCUGCACCAGAUUUGAACAAUAAGACACUUGCUAAAAUAAUAUUUGAACCUCCUACACACAAAGCCACACAACCUGCACAAUAAUAGACAGAUGCGUGCGUGCGUGCGUGCGUGCGUGCGUGCGUGUGUGUGUGCGUGUGUGUGUGUGUGUGUGUGUGUGUGUGUGUGUGUGUGUGUGUGUGUGUGUGUGUAGUAUCAUAAAUUAAUAAAUACAAGUUAGGCCCCUCAGUUGAUUAUGUGAACACAUUGCACACGGACUAUCUGCAUCGACAACUACAUCAGACAAUAAAUUAAAUAAACACUACAACAGUACAACAGUAAUUGCGGCGAAUUAUAUUUUAGCACGCAAACUGUAGGAGGCCAAGGUGAAGCUAUACUGUAGCCUACAUAACGCAUAACGCUGCUGAUCUGUCAAACCAUGCAGCUACUGGGGCUAGCUUGGACAGAAAAAUACGCACAAAUGCGACAUGCAAGGCUAGGUUCACCGAGGACGCGGUCCAGCUCCUCCCUUCACAAAGAAGAAUGAAAGACCUCAAGUACCUGACUUGCCUUACCCGAUGGGAGAUGAGGUUAGGUAUUCUAUAGUCUACAGCAGUUUUGUAUGGACC
rnacentral:lncRNA from 1 species